UAGGGAAUCUUCCACAAUGGACGCAAGUCUGAUGGAGCAACGCCGCGUGAGUGAAGAAGGUCUUCGGAUCGUAAAGCUCUGUUGUUGGUGAAGAAGGAUAGAGGCAGUAACUGGUCUUUAUUUGACGGUAAUCAACCAGAAAGUCACGGCUAACUACGUGCCAGCAGCCGCGGUAAUACGUAGGUGGCAAGCGUUGUCCGGAUUUAUUGGGCGU
rnacentral:rRNA from 1 species